rnacentral:sRNA from 8 species
UUUGCUUUAUAGCCCAGGAGGAUGAGAACCUCCGGGGGGUAAGAGGUUCGACUCGAGCGUAGCGAGAGAACGUUGCGUCAGCAACGGCCCGCGGGGCGAGCCACGUAGUGGCGAGUAAUCCUCUAUCACCGACCA